rnacentral:tRNA from 1 species
ACCAGGAUGGCCGAGUGGUUAAGGCGUUGGAUUUAAGAUCCAAUGGGUAAAUGCCCAUGUGGGUUUGACGUUUGUAGAAUCCUAGAA